rnacentral:rRNA from 1 species
AGAGUUUGAUCCUGGCUCAGGACGAACGCUGGCGGCGUGCUUAACACAUGCAAGUCGAGCGAUGAAGCUCCUUCGGGAGUGGAUUAGCGGCGGACGGGUGAGUAACACGUGGGUAACCUGCCUCAUAGAGGGGAAUAGCCUUUCGAAAGGAAGAUUAAUACCGCAUAAGAUUGUAGUACCGCAUGGUACAGCAAUUAAAGGAGUAAUCCGCUAUGAGAUGGACCCGCGUCGCAUUAGCUAGUUGGUGAGGUAACGGCUCACCAAGGCGACGAUGCGUAGCCGACCUGAGAGGGUGAUCGGCCACAUUGGGACUGAGACACGGCCCAGACUCCUACGGGAGGCAGCAGUGGGGAAUAUUGCACAAUGGGGGAAACCCUGAUGCAGCAACGCCGCGUGAGUGAUGACGGUCUUCGGAUUGUAAAGCUCUGUCUUUAGGGACGAUAAUGACGGUACCUAAGGAGGAAGCCACGGCUAACUACGUGCCAGCAGCCGCGGUAAUAC